rnacentral:rRNA from 1 species
UACGUAGGGUGCGAGCGUUAAUCGGAAUUACUGGGCGUAAAGCGUGCGCAGGCGGUUCGUUAUGUCCGAUGUGAAAGCCCCGAGCUCAACUUGGGAAUGGCAUUGGAAACUGGCGGGCUGGAGUGUGGCAGAGGGGGGUGGAAUUCCACGUGGUAGCAGUGAAAUGCGUAGAGAUGUGGAGGAACACCGAUGGCGAAGGCAGCCCCCUGGGCCAACACUGACGCUCAGGCACGAAAGCGUGGGGAGCAAACAGG